AUGGAUAAUUACAAGAACAUUCCUCAAUUCCUCUAUGGCUUAAGCCCAUCUCAGAUGGAAAUGUUUAAAACUGACGACAACCCUUAUAAUCGGCAGUCAAAGAAAGUUACAGAGGUUAGUGAGAUCAUCCAUUACUGCAGUUACAUUACUGAAAAUAAAUGGUGGCAUCCAGUAAGUGACACUCUCAAAUUCAUUCCAAAGUACUCCAGACUCCAAAGCAUGUCCUUUUCAUCCAUUCAUGUUAGCAGCGAGCAAGGCCAUGGCAUCUUUCUUUCCCCUAGAAGUUUAAAGAAUCCAAUUAGUCAUUGA
rnacentral:rRNA from 1 species